rnacentral:ncRNA from 2 species
UCAUAACGACAAGCGCCUGAACUGCUUUGGACGGAAAAUGAGCAGUUGACGAGGAAGAGGGUUUAUCGAUAUUUCGGCGGAUGCCCUCCGGUUGACGCAUGACAGCCGCGAAAGCUUUUGUAAAAAGCAAAGAGGUGACUCUUUGGACAAAAUCAAAAGCGACAUGCCCA